UACGAAGGGGGCUAGCGUUGCUCGGAAUCACUGGGCGUAAAGGGUGCGUAGGCGGGUCUUUGAGUCAGGGGUGAAAUCCUGGAGCUCAACUCCAGAACUGCCUUUGAUACUGAAGAUCUUGAGUCCGGGAGAGGUGAGCGGAACUGCGAGUGUAGAGGUGAAAUUCGUAGAUAUUCGCAAGAACACCAGUGGCGAAGGCGGCUCACUGGCCCGGUACUGACGCUGAGGCACGAAAGCGUGGGGAGCAAACAGG
rnacentral:rRNA from 1 species